rnacentral:rRNA from 1 species
AGAUUAAGUUAUUAAGGGCGCACGGUGGAUGCCUUGGCACUAGAAGCCGAUGAAGGACGUUACUAACGACGAUAUGCUUUGGGGAGCUGUAAGUAAGCGUUGAUCCAGAGAUUUCCGAAUGGGGAAACCCAGCAUGAGUUAUGUCAUGUUAUCGAUAUGUGAAUACAUAGCAUAUCAGAAGGCAGACCCGGAGAACUGAAACAUCUUAGUACCCGGAGGAAGAGAAAGAAAAAUCGAUUCCCUGAGUAGCGGCGAGCGAAACGGGAAGAGCCCAAACCAACAAGCUUGCUUGUUGGGGUUGUAGGACACUCUAUACGGAGUUACAAAAGUAUAUAUUAGACGAAUCAUCUGGAAAGUUGAAUCAAAGAAGGUAAUAAUCCUGUAGUCGAAAAUAUAUACUCUCUUGAGUGGAUCCUGAGUACGACGGAGCACGUGAAAUUCCGUCGGAAUCUGGGAGGACCAUCUCCUAAGGCUAAAUACUCUCUAGUGACCGAUAGUGAACCAGUACCGUGAGGGAAAGGUGAAAAGUACCCCGGAAGGGGAGUGAAAGAGAACUUGAAACCGUGUGCUUACAAGUAGUCAGAGCCCGUUAAUGGGUGAUGGCGUGCCUUUUGUAGAAUGAACCGGCGAGUUACGAUUUGAUGCAAGGUUAAGCAGCUAAUGUGGAGCCGUAGCGAAAGCGAGUCUGAAUAGGGCGUUUAGUAUUUGGUCGUAGACCCGAAACCAGGUGAUCUACCCUUGGUCAGGUUGAAGUUCAGGUAACACUGAAUGGAGGACCGAACCGACUUACGUUGAAAAGUGAGCGGAUGAACUGAGGGUAGCGGAGAAAUUCCAAUCGAACUUGGAGAUAGCUGGUUCUCUCCGAAAUAGCUUUAGGGCUAGCCUCAAGUGAUGAUUAUUGGAGGUAGAGCACUGUUUGGACGAGGGGCCCUUCUCGGGUUACCGAAUUCAGACAAACUCCGAAUGCCAAUCAAUUUAACUUGGGAGUCAGAACAUGGGUGAUAAGGUCCGUGUUCGAAAGGGAAACAGCCCAGACCACCAGCUAAGGUCCCAAAAUAUAUGUUAAGUGGAAAAGGAUGUGGCGUUGCCCAGACAACUAGGAUGUUGGCUUAGAAGCAGCCAUCAUUUAAAGAGUGCGUAAUAGCUCACUAGUCGAGUGACACUGCGCCGAAAAUGUACCGGGGCUAAACAUAUUACCGAAGCUGUGGAUUGUCCGUAGGACAAUGGUAGGAGAGCGUUCUAAGGGCGUCGAAGCAUGAUCGCAAGGACAUGUGGAGCGCUUAGAAGUGAGAAUGCCGGUGUGAGUAGCGAAAGACGGGUGAGAAUCCCGUCCACCGAUUGACUAAGGUUUCCAGAGGAAGGCUCGUCCGCUCUGGGUUAGUCGGGUCCUAAGCUGAGGCCGACAGGCGUAGGCGAUGGAUAACAGGUUGAUAUUCCUGUACCACCUAGUAUCGUUUUAAUCGAUGGGGGGACGCAGUAGGAUAGGCGAAGCGUGCUAUUGGAUUGCACGUCCAAGCAGUAAGACUGAGUGUUAGGCAAAUCCGGCACUCAUAAGGUCAAGCUGUGAUGGGGAGAGGAAAUUGUUUCCUCGAGUCGUUGAUUUCACACUGCCAAGAAAAGCCUCUAGAUAGAUAACAGGUGCCCGUACCGCAAACCGACACAGGUAGUCAAGAUGAGAAUUCUAAGGUGAGCGAGCGAACUCUCGUUAAGGAACUCGGCAAAAUGACCCCGUAACUUCGGGAGAAGGGGUGCUCUUUAGGGUUAACGCCCAGAAGAGCCGCAGUGAAUAGGCCCAAGCGACUGUUUAUCAAAAACACAGGUCUCUGCUAAACCGUAAGGUGAUGUAUAGGGGCUGACGCCUGCCCGGUGCUGGAAGGUUAAGAGGAGUAGUUAGCUUCUGCGAAGCUACGAAUCGAAGCCCCAGUAAACGGCGGCCGUAACUAUAACGGUCCUAAGGUAGCGAAAUUCCUUGUCGGGUAAGUUCCGACCCGCACGAAAGGCGUAACGAUUUGGGCACUGUCUCAACGAGAGACUCGGUGAAAUCAUAGUACCUGUGAAGAUGCAGGUUACCCGCGACAGGACGGAAAGACCCCGUGGAGCUUUACUGUAGCCUGAUAUUGAAAUUCGGCACAGCUUGUACAGGAUAGGUAGGAGCCUUUGAAACGUGAGCGCUAGCUUACGUGGAGGCAUUGGUGGGAUACUACCCUAGCUGUGUUGGCUUUCUAACCCGCACCACUUAUCGUGGUGGGAGACAGUGUCAGGUGGGCAGUUUGACUGGGGCGGUCGCCUCCUAAAAGGUAACGGAGGCGCUCAAAGGUUCCCUCAGAAUGGUUGGAAAUCAUUCAUAGAGUGUAAAGGCAUAAGGGAGCUUGACUGCGAGACUUACAAGUCGAGCAGGGUCGAAAGACGGACUUAGUGAUCCGGUGGUUCCGCAUGGAAGGGCCAUCGCUCAACGGAUAAAAGCUACCCCGGGGAUAACAGGCUUAUCUCCCCCAAGAGUUCACAUCGACGGGGAGGUUUGGCACCUCGAUGUCGGCUCAUCGCAUCCUGGGGCUGUAGUCGGUCCCAAGGGUUGGGCUGUUCGCCCAUUAAAGCGGUACGCGAGCUGGGUUCAGAACGUCGUGAGACAGUUCGGUCCCUAUCCGUCGUGGGCGUAGGAAAUUUGAGAGGAGCUGUCCUUAGUACGAGAGGACCGGGAUGGACAUACCUCUGGUGUACCAGUUGUCGUGCCAACGGCAUAGCUGGGUAGCUAUGUAUGGACGGGAUAAGUGCUGAAAGCAUCUAAGCAUGAAGCCCCCCUCAAGAUGAGAUUUCCCAACUUCGGUUAUAAGAUCCCUCAAAGAUGAUGAGGUUAAUAGGUUCGAGGUGGAAGCGUGGUGACACGUGGAGCUGACGAAUACUAAUCGAUCGAAGGCUUAAUCAAAA